rnacentral:rRNA from 1 species
GAUGAACGCUGGCGGCGUGCCUAAUACAUGCAAGUCGAGCGCACGGACGAUAAGCUUGCUUCUCUGAUGUUAGCGGCGGACUGGUGAGUAACACGUGGAUAACCUACCUAUAAGACUGUGAUAACUUCGGGAAACCGGAGCUACUACCUGAUAAUAUUUUUAACCUCAUGGUUCAAAAGUAAACGACGGUCUUGCUGUCACUUAUAGAUUGAUCCGCGCUGCAUUAGCUAGUUGGUAAGGUAACGGCUUACCAAGGCAACGAUGCAUAGCCGACCUGAGAGGGGGAUCGGCCACACUGGAACUGAGACACGGUCCAGACUCCUACGGGAGGCAGCAGUAGGGAAUCUUCCGCAAUGGGCGAAAGCCUGACGGAGCAACGCCGCGUGAGUGAUGAAGGUCUUCGGAUCGUAAAACUCUGUUAUUAGGGAAGAACAUAUGUGUAAGUAAAUGUGCACAUCUUGACGGUACCUAAUCAGAAAGCCACGGCUAACUACGUG